rnacentral:miRNA from 1 species
UGAGGACCGUUUUCUAACUGUGA